GCACUGGGGCCCCUGCUGCUGUUCUCCAAUGCCGCCCUCCUCUUCUGCCUGCUCCGACGGUGCCAGGCGCGGGCAGGGAUCCAGCGGGAGGCUGAGGAGAGGAGGAAGCCCAGUGCCAUGAAUGACUACGGCUCCGGGGAGGCCGUGAAUCCAGCCGCCCGGCGCACGCUGCUGGACAGCUACUCAGAGAGCUGCACCUCCUCUGCGG